rnacentral:rRNA from 1 species
AACGAACGCUGGCGGCAUGCCUAACACAUGCAAGUCGAACGAGACCUUCGGGUCUUGUGGCGCACGGGUGCGUAACGCGUGGGAACCUGCCCUUAGGUUCGGAAUAACUCUCCGACAGGGGUGCUAAUACCGGAUAAUGUCUUCGGCCCAAAGAUUUAUCGCCUUUGGAUGGGCCCGCGUUGGAUUAGCUUGUUGGUAGGGUAAAAGCCUACCAAGGCGACGAUCCAUAGCUGGUUUGAGAGGAUGAUCAGCCACACUGGGACUGAGACACGGCCCAGACUCCUACGGGAGGCAGCAGUGGGGAAUAUUGGACAAUGGGCGAAAGCCUGAUCCAGCAAGGCCGCGUGAGUGAUGAAGGCCUUAGGGUUGUAAAGCUCUUUUACCCGGGAUGAUAAUGACGGUACCGGGAGAAUAAGCUCCGGCUAACUCCGUG